rnacentral:rRNA from 1 species
CCCCUAGAUGUUCUGGACCGCACGCGCGCUACACUGAACAGUUCAACAAGUCUUAACCUUGGCCGAUAGGUCUGGGUAAUCUUUGAACGCUGUUCGUGAUUGGGAUAGACCUUUGCAAUUAUGGGUCUUCAACGAGGAAUUCCUAGUAAACGCAAGUCAUCAGCUUGCAUUGAUUACGUCCCUGCCCUUUGUACACACCGCCCGUCGCACCUACCGAUUGAAUGGUCCGGUGAAAUCUCGGGACGGCGGCUUGGUCGCUUGCGUCCGACUGCUGAAACUUGAUUAAACCAUAUCAUUUAGAGGAAGGUGAANUCGUAACA